rnacentral:rRNA from 1 species
GGUGGUACUACUUCGGCUAGAUUCUCUUGUGUUUGGAAAUCUAAGGUCCCUCCUAAGAUUAAGAUUUUCCUCUGGCAAGCCUUCCGUGGUCGCCUCCCUUCUGCUGAUCAGAUCAAAAAACGCAAUGGGCCGGGCUCGGAAUUCUGUAACUUGUGUGGGGCUUUGGAAAACUCUAAUCACAUCUUUUUCAACUGUGUUCUCGCCAAAUUAGUUUGGGCUUGCGUCAGAUCCUGGCUUCGGGUCUCCUGGAAUCCCUCCUCUUUCUCAGAUAUUAGAACCCUAGCCAAAUCUCUGGUAGGGGUCACCAGGAGGGUAUUCUGGGUUGGCUUGGGAGCCUUAUGUUGGGCACUA